UAAGGAAUAUUGGUCAAUGGACGCAAGUCUGAACCAGCCAUGCCGCGUGGAGGAUGAAGGUCCUCUGGAUUGUAAACUUCUUUUAUCUGGGACGAAAAAGGGUCUUUCUAGAUCAACUGACGGUACCAGAUGAAUAAGCACCGGCUAACUCCGUGCCAGCAGCCGCGGUAAUACGGAGGGUGCAAGCGUUAUCCGGAUUCACUGGGUUUAAAGGGUGCGUAGGUGGGUUGGUAAGUCAGUGGUGAAAUCCCCGAGCUUAAACUUGGGAACUGCCAUUGAUACUAUCAGUCUUGAAUAUUGUGGAGGUUAGCGGAAUAUGUCAUGUAGCGGUGAAAUGCUUAGAUAUGACAUAGAACACCAAUUGCGAAGGCAGCUGGCUACGCAUAUAUUGACACUGAGGCACGAAAGCGUGGGGAUCAAACAGGAUUAGAUACCCUGGUAGUCCACGCCCUAAACUAUGGAUACUCGACAUCAGCG
rnacentral:rRNA from 1 species